GCGAGAUCAUGACCUGAGCUGAAGUCGGAUGCUUAACCGACUGAGCCACCCAGGCGCCCCAGCAGAGGUCAUUCUAAAGGGGAGAGAAAGGAACAACGCCAAGGACGGGGAGAAAUGCAGUGACGCAGACGGAGGGCAGGCACUGAAGGUCAUGAAGGAGGGCCGUUGGCUGAAUUUCCUACCAUGCCCAGUGGGUGCAGUGAGAGGUUUCCACAUCUGCACUGAGAGGGUUUGGGCAGCAAACGGUUCCUGAGCCCAGUGUCUGUCAUUCACGCACCUGGAGAAGAAAAGGAACAUUCUGAGCCUCUGCCACAAGGCGUUCACAUUCGAAACCAUUUGACCUUACCCUGGCAGCCUCUGGCUUGGAUCUAUCAUCUGCUGCCCAAACCCAGAGAGAAGAGAAAGUUGCAGGCAUGCGCGGUCCACCCGCCAGGGGGGGAUUGCUUGAACCUCAUAUGGAGGGUCUUGGCCCUUCCCCACCUCCCACCUCCACUGGGGCCGUUUGGAUCGGAAGGUAACAACCCGACAGCAAGGCCACCUCUCUGGGAACAACAUCUACCCGACGGGAAAUGCAGGAGUGGGAGAAGGAGCCACCCCGCC